rnacentral:rRNA from 1 species
AUACAGAGGGUGCGAGCGUUAAUCGGAAUUACUGGGCGUAAAGCGCGCGUAGGCGGUCUAUUAAGUCAGAUGUGAAAUCCCAGGGCUCAACCUUGGAACUGCAUCUGAUACUGGUAGACUAGAGUUUUGGAGAGGGAAGUAGAAUUUCAGGUGUAGCGGUGAAAUGCAUAGAGAUCAGAAGGAAUACCAGUGGCGAAGGCGACUUCCUGGCCAAAAACUGACGCUGAGGUGCGAAAGCGUGGGUAGCAAACGGGAUUAGAUACCCCAGUAGUCC